rnacentral:rRNA from 1 species
UGUGUGUUAGUGGAAGCGUCUGGAAAGGCGCGCGAUACAGGGUGACAGCCCCGUACACAAAAAUGCACAUGCUGUGAGCUCGAUGAGUAGGGCGGGACACGUGGUAUCCUGUCUGAAUAUGGGGGGACCAUCCUCCAAGGCUAAAUACUCCUGACUGACCGAUAGUGAACCAGUACCGUGAGGGAAAGGCGAAAAGAACCCCGGCGAGGGGAGUGAAAAAGAACCUGAAACCGUGUACGUACAAGCAGUGGGAGCACGCUUAGGCGUGUGACUGCGUACCUUUUGUAUAAUGGGUCAGCGACUUAUAUUCUGUAGCAAGGUUAACCGAAUAGGGGAGCCGAAGGGAAACCGAGUCUUAACUGGGCGUUAAGUUGCAGGGUAUAGACCCGAAACCCGGUGAUCUAGCCAUGGGCAGGUUGAAGGUUGGGUAACACUAACUGGAGGACCGAACCGACUAAUGUUGAAAAAUUAGCGGAUGACUUGUGGCUGGGGGUGAAAGGCCAAUCAAACCGGGAGAUAGCUGGUUCUCCCCGAAAGCUAUUUAGGUAGCGCCUCGUGAAUUCAUCUCCGGGGGUAGAGCACUGUUUCGGCAAGGGGGUCAUCCCGACUUACCAACCCGAUGCAAACUGCGAAUACCGGAGAAUGUUAUCACGGGAGACACACGGCGGGUGCUAACGUCCGUCGUGAAGAGGGAAACAACCCAGACCGCCAGCUAAGGUCCCAAAGUCAUGGUUAAGUGGGAAACGAUGUGGGAAGGCCCAGACAGCCAGGAUGUUGGCUUAGAAGCAGCCAUCAUUUAAAGAAAGCGUAAUAGCUCACUGGUCGAGUCGGCCUGCGCGGAAGAUGUAACGGGGCUAAACCAUGCACCGAAGCUGCGGCAGCGACGCUUAUGCGUUGUUGGGUAGGGGAGCGUUCUGUAAGCCUGCGAAGGUGUACUGUGAGGUAUGCUGGAGGUAUCAGAAGUGCGAAUGCUGACAUAAGUAACGAUAAAGCGGGUGAAAAGCCCGCUCGCCGGAAGACCAAGGGUUCCUGUCCAACGUUAAUCGGGGCAGGGUGAGUCGACCCCUAAGGCGAGGCCGAAAGGCGUAGUCGAUGGGAAACAGGUUAAUAUUCCUGUACUUGGUGUUACUGCGAAGGGGGGACGGAGAAGGCUAUGUUGGCCGGGCGACGGUUGUCCCGGUUUAAGCGUGUAGGCUGGUUUUCCAGGCAAAUCCGGAAAAUCAAGGCUGAGGCGUGAUGACGAGGCACUACGGUGCUGAAGCAACAAAUGCCCUGCUUCCAGGAAAAGCCUCUAAGCAUCAGGUAACAUCAAAUCGUACCCCAAACCGACACAGGUGGUCAGGUAGAGAAUACCAAGGCGCUUGAGAGAACUCGGGUGAAGGAACUAGGCAAAAUGGUGCCGUAACUUCGGGAGAAGGCACGCUGAUAUGUAGGUGAAGCGACUUGCUCGUGGAGCUGAAAUCAGUCGAAGAUACCAGCUGGCUGCAACUGUUUAUUAAAAACACAGCACUGUGCAAACACGAAAGUGGACGUAUACGGUGUGACGCCUGCCCGGUGCCGGAAGGUUAAUUGAUGGGGUUAGCGCAAGCGAAGCUCUUGAUCGAAGCCCCGGUAAACGGCGGCCGUAACUAUAACGGUCCUAAGGUAGCGAAAUUCCUUGUCGGGUAAGUUCCGACCUGCACGAAUGGCGUAAUGAUGGCCAGGCUGUCUCCACCCGAGACUCAGUGAAAUUGAACUCGCUGUGAAGAUGCAGUGUACCCGCGGCAAGACGGAAAGACCCCGUGAACCUUUACUAUAGCUUGACACUGAACAUUGAGCCUUGAUGUGUAGGAUAGGUGGGAGGCUUUGAAGUGUGGACGCCAGUCUGCAUGGAGCCGACCUUGAAAUACCACCCUUUAAUGUUUGAUGUUCUAACGUUGACCCGUAAUCCGGGUUGCGGACAGUGUCUGGUGGGUAGUUUGACUGGGGCGGUCUCCUCCUAAAGAGUAACGGAGGAGCACGAAGGUUGGCUAAUCCUGGUCGGACAUCAGGAGGUUAGUGCAAUGGCAUAAGCCAGCUUGACUGCGAGCGUGACGGCGCGAGCAGGUGCGAAAGCAGGUCAUAGUGAUCCGGUGGUUCUGAAUGGAAGGGCCAUCGCUCAACGGAUAAAAGGUACUCCGGGGAUAACAGGCUGAUACCGCCCAAGAGUUCAUAUCGACGGCGGUGUUUGGCACCUCGAUGUCGGCUCAUCACAUCCUGGGGCUGAAGUAGGUCCCAAGGGUAUGGCUGUUCGCCAUUUAAAGUGGUACGCGAGCUGGGUUUAGAACGUCGUGAGACAGUUCGGUCCCUAUCUGCCGUGGGCGCUGGAGAACUGAGGGGGGCUGCUCCUAGUACGAGAGGACCGGAGUGGACGCAUCACUGGUGUUCGGGUUGUCAUGCCAAUGGCACUGCCCGGUAGCUAAAUGCGGAAGAGAUAAGUGCUGAAAGCAUCUAAGCACGAAACUUGCC